GUCAAUUAUAUCUGGUGUUACUCGAUCGUAUCGGUGGUUGAAACAAAAAUGGGUUUGUGCCGAAGGGUUGUGGUGUUGCUCUUCUUGUGGGUGUUCCGCAUAAAGAUGCCAUUUUCAAGAUUCAUCCUAUGAAAUUGAAACCUGAUCAAGCUGCACGAUUUGGUGAUGCAAUAUGGGCAUGUAUGUAGUUUAAUUUCUGUCAAGAUACUUGGAAGACUUCAAUAUGGGCAUGUAUGUAGUUAUCGAGGUGUGAUUGUAUCUAUGCAUAAAGAGAACAAGCUUAUCAUGGUCAAUCCAGACACCAAAGCUCUGGCAGG